rnacentral:rRNA from 1 species
CUACGGGGGGCUCCAGUGGGGAAUAUUGCACAAUGGGCGAAAGCCUGAUGCAGCAACGCCGCGUGAGUGAUGAAGGCCUUCGGGUCGUAAAACUCUGUCCUCAAGGAAGAAUAAUGACGGUACUUGAGGAGGAAGCCCCGGCUAACUACGUGCCAGCAGCCGCGGUAAUACGUAGGGGGCAAGCGUUAUCCGGAAUCACUGGGCGUAAAGGGUGCGUAGGCGGUUUUACAAGUCAGGUGUGAAAGGCUAUGGCUCAACCAUAGUAAGCACUUGAAACUGUAUAACUUGAGUGCAGGAGAGGAAAGUGGAAUUCCUAGUGUAGCGGUGACAUGCGUAGAUAUUAGGAGGAACACCAGUGGCGAAGGCGACUUUCUGGACUGUAACUGACGCUGAGGCACGAAAGCGUGGGGAGCGAACAGGAUUAGAUACCCCAGUAGUC